GCCAGGCGCAGUGGUGCACGUCUGUAAUCCCAGCUGCUUGGGAGGCUGAGGCAGGAGGAUCAUGAGUUCAGAGCCAACCUCAGCAACUUAAGGAGUCCCUAAGCAGCUCAGUGAGACCCAGUCUCUA
rnacentral:sRNA from 1 species